GUUCUUGAAAACAAUGUGCCCUCACCUAGAAGGCUGAGAACCUGCUGUGAUGACUCAACGGUGAAGGCACUGUGUGCACAAAGCUCCUUUCCAGCAGGCUGCAGAGCCCCAGUAAAGAUCUAUGCUGGCCACACUUUUCAGCAAAAACACAACAAUGUAGUAGAAAGCUGUGGAAUACAGAUCCCCUCUGAUAUUGUAUGAGGAGGAAACAAAAACAUCACUCUUACACAGAUUUUAGCAAGCAGCAUUAAUUCUGCCAAGAAAGAUCCCGCUCAGGUUGAAUCAGGAAGGCUCCACUCUGAACACACACUGCCUUGAUACUGCUGCCCAGAACAAAACUCAUUCAGCACACAGAUGAAAAAAAUUAGAGGGAAUACUGCUUACAACCCUCCAUCCUCCCCCCACCCAAGUACUCCUCAAUGUAGCAUACAUACUUUGGUAAGUAUAAGCAGAGGACAAGUAUUCAGAUAUGUGAACACCUAAGAGUCUGUGUAGGGGGAAUCGCUGCAUGUUCAAACAGAGCCAAGCCUCUACUUUGUAUUCUAUAAAAUAUUUUUUUAUUUGGA